CGAUUUUUGCUCUCCUCCAUAGCUGGGGUUUCUUUAACUUUCAAGCUUCAUAAUCAAGAAGAACGAAAUUCGGGAGUAGAUCGGGGAAAAGAAAAAGUAAAGGACUAAAUUGUAAAGUUUAGUCACAUUUUGUAUCAAGGUAAGUUACAGUAAAUAAAUGCAAUAUUCUUUUAUUUUACAUUAUUAUUGUCAAUUUCCAGCAUUUAUAUACUUAUGUUAUGAAAAUAUGUAAAGUCGAAUUUAAGGUGGAGUAACAGAGGAAAAGUGUUAGAAAGCCCCGGUUGAAUCCUAAGAAUGUUAGGAUAUUAGAGUUGACAGGACAGAACAGAAAUGAGCCAUGUAAGUCCAUAUUAGAAAUAUGGCUUUGGAGACAGGAUUGAGCCAUGUAAGUCCAUAUUAUAUAUGGCAUUGGAGACAGGAAUAAUUCAUGUAAGUCCAUGUCAAAGACAUGGCAUUGGCAGGAUAUUGAUAGACAGGAACGACCCUAGUAUCCUUAGUAUUUCGAGUGGUUCAACGGGUCAGGAUAUGAGUUAAAUUACAGUGAAUUAACAGCAAAGGAAAAGUAGAUUAUACUUAUAAAAAAAGAAAGGUCAGGUAAGAAAGAAGGUAAGGGAAUAAAGAAGAAGAUACAAAUUGAGAAGUAAAGAAAUUUAUGAUGUUAGAUGAUAUUAUGCAUAAUUAUCCAUUAUGUUGUUGUGAUUUAUUUGCUUGUAAGCUUACUAAGCCUAGUGCUUAAUCUCUUUAUUUUCUUCUUCUUAUAGUACUUAUCUAGUCACUCGGGGAUCGAAGGAAACGUCGGAGGCCGAUCACACUAUCAAAGAAAUAACUCGGUAUAACUAGACGUUUUGUUUUGGGUAUGGCAUGUAUAGAAACUUAGCUACUUUUGGUAUAAUAUGAACAAUGAAUGAUGUGUAAAUACUUGCUAGUGAUUAGCUAAUAAAAUAGCCGAUGAUAUAC
rnacentral:lncRNA from 1 species